CAGAGGUACAGCCAAGUUAACGAGAACACAGUCUGCCAAAGCACAUCAGGACAGAUCUUGAAGUUUGGCGUCAAUAAACCUCUGUACUAAGCACAGCCAUGUGCUCUUCACUUGAUUUUUACACACACACACACACACACACACACACACACAGAGCAGUUUCAUGGGAGGAGAUCCUUCCAAAGAGAUGGCAAAAAUUUUAAGAAAUGGAAGGGCAGUCUCAAAAAUUUGACUACUGAAUUUCAGUAGGCCUACCUGAAUUAGUUUCAGGCUCAGACUGAAGGAAAGUUUGUUUCUUUUCUUUGGUAUAGGUGUGUGUGAUAUAAAGGAAACCCCAAGUAUGAAAAACAGCCACUUUCCCAUGAAGGCUAAAGCAGGCCUUGGCUUGGAGCAGCCCAUUACUGGCUCAGUGAACUGGGAAAAUGCAGUCACCUCUUCACGCAGUCAGAUGAUGACCCCUACGCCAUGGGGCUGGUGUGGAAUAUUACAUGCUACAAGCUAUUAUGUACAAAGAUCAACUCCAUCAAUCAGUGCCCAUAGGAGUUGCAAGAAUAUCAAGUACUUCAAAGUUUGAAUUGAAAUUGAAAGUGCUCAUCCUUACCUCAAGGCCUAAGAUAUCCAGUGUCUCCUACAUUCUUUUAUUUUUGUCUUGGGUAACCAGGUCCUCUAAGAGCAACAGAAACCUACCUCUGUUCUGGCUUCCUACAAAGCAGUGCUGUUUUUAAAACAAAUAUACCAGAGGUACAGAUCAAAUUCUGGGGUUAUGCAAAUGCUGUGACUCGUGAGACAAUGCAAGAACUAUAGAAAUGCAUGCACUUCUACUGGAGGAGAUUUUUUUAAUUUGGAAAGGUACAGUAUUCUUUCAGUAGUAAGUGUUUUAAAUUAUUUUUAAGCAAUACAUAAGAAUAUAAGAUUUGUACAUAUCAAGGGAAUGGCAAUAUAUGUGAUGUUUCAGUAUACAUAUGCAUCAUCUAAUGUUUAAAGCACCAUACAUUUAUCCAUCCCCUUCAACAGUUGUCGUUACUUUAUGACCUUUUCUGAGCCAUACAGCACAGUUUGUUU
rnacentral:lncRNA from 1 species